AUUCAACGAACUUUAUCAUGGUUGCAUUCGUCGUUACAGCUAAUGUCAAGUGACUUCUAAAUCUGGAGCUCGAUUAGAAAAGGUCGUAAGUAACAAAAGUAAAUAAAUUCUGCUAAUUUCACCAUUAGGUAGAUUCUACUCAGUUUAAUAUGCGGUUAAAAUAUCAUUUUGAUAUGGUAUUUAUUUAAAAAUAAAAUAAAAGUUAACACUUCGACGGAAUGAACAAAAACUAGGAACAGUGCAAAUUUGUUCAUUCGUCCUAUUGCACAUAAGGUCGAAAGUAACAAAAACGCCUAAUUCCGAUAAAACGUGUAUUCGACCUUUUGUCACCAAAGGUCCCAUGAGCGACAGCUGCCAAAAUAAAUGGAAAAGCUGAUACGACGCACCUGUAGUAUUGAUUUUGCCUCGUUAAACAGUUUUUUUUACAAUGAGAGAAUUAAAUUCAAUGCCAGAAGCUGCGAUUUUUUGGAAACAAAUCGUUUGGUUUGAUGAAAGGAAUUUACGGAAGAACAUUCCUAUGGAAAGACCCCAACUAAAGACCCGCCAGAUCGCAGAUUAGUAAUCUCUUCACUUGAUGAUUCCAGUGGAAAAACAGUAUCGGGAUCGAUUCCAUCGAUGGGAAUGAGCAUCCAUUCACCAUCCAACCUUCAAGCGAAUCCAGUAACACUGAUUCCAUGGCAAAACCGGUCCGCACCGGCUGGGCAACUGGAAACAUCAAUGGAUCAGUCUCCCCUUGCCAAUGCUUGGAUGAACACCAAUCAAUCCCUUCAUCUUUCCUGACACGUCUUCGUCCGUUAAUUCACCAGCUUCGUAUAUGCUGACUUCAUCAGACGGUAGCCCGGUAGCCCAGGCCUUGAAACUGAGUCCUU